ensembl:lincRNA
GAUUGUUGGGUCCUUUGGCUUUUCUUCCCUGGUGCCAGAAUGAAAGAUGCAUGUUAUCUGUAAAAUUGAUGGAACUGUCUUGCAUUUACUUCAUGACCCCAAAUGAAAUAGGGAUCCCAGUCUGAGGAAACAUUCAUUUUUGCUGCUGUAAACCAGGCCAACAUAAUUAAGAUAAUAGUAAGGCAUAUGUUUUUCACACAGUUUUUGUGGUCAGGUAUCGGAGUAGUGAGCUGAGAGAGAGGCUCUGUGACAGGGUCUUUCAGUCAGGUUAUUGUGGCUGCUGAAUCUGCUUCCAUGGUGCUUCGCUGUGUCUAGCUAGUUGGUUGGCAGGCCCCAGUUCUUCUUGGAUUGCUAAAUGUCCUGGUGUGGUUGGUGUUCCCCAAGAACUAGACUUUUAAGCCCCAGUGAAGAAACAGCCAUACACUGGUAGAGUCUGUCAGUGCCGUCUAGUGGCAGUGCAGAGCACAAGCCUGGCCUGACAGUAGGCGGGAAAUAAGUCUCUCCAUGGAGUAGUUUAAUAGCUGGCUCAGUUCUAGGUUACUCCAGUUCCUAGAUGGAUUAGGAUGGGAUCAGAUACCUAGCUGAAGUCAUUCAGUGAGUAAUUAAUUAGUUGAUUAAGUCAGUUUUUCUUUUCCUUUAAGGGCUCAACCUUAACUGUAAAAGGAAACUCAAAGAAGCUAAUUACUUCCCCUAAGGUCUGAUUCAGUCUUUGAAAAGUAAACUGUUCUGACCUUUAUCAUGAAUAAUCUGAUUGUGAUGAGAGAGUUGGCUGGCAAUUGUUUUUUAAUCGUUACUAAACAAGGUACAGUGAAGAUCACUUACCUAGUCUACAAGUCUGCAGGCUUCUGAUGUUCAGCUUUGAGUGAGUGUGUGUAUCUGUGUGUCUGUAGAAUAUAAAUACAUAUGUAUAUGUAUGUACACAUAUAAUUUAAAUAUGUUUAAAGGACUUCUGCAUACUUAUGUGCUUGGGCAUCUGUUGCCUCUGUAGUCCACAAGAGGGCAUUGGAUUCCUUGGAAUUUGCAUCACUGAAUCAUCUCUGCUCUGUGGAUUUUUUUUUUUUUUAAGAUUUNUUUAUUUAUUAUAUGUAAGUACACUGUAGCUGUCUUCAGACACUCCAGAAGAGGGCGCCAGAUCUCGUUGCGGAUGGUUGUGAGCCACCAUGUGGUUGCUGGGAUUUGAACUCUGGACCUUCGGAAGAGCAGUCGGGUGCUCUUACCCACUGAGCCAUCUCACCAGCCCAGGAUUUAUUUUUAAUUAUGUAUAUGUAUAUAUAUGUCUGUUACUUUCCUGUUGCUGUGAUAAGAUAUCAUGACCAGAACUAAAGGAAGAAAAUUUAUUUUGGCUUAGGGCUCCAGAGGUAGAGUUUACAGCAGCAGGGGAGGCAUAUCAGGGAAUCAGGCAGCUGAAUGCCAGAACAGGAAGCUGACAGAUCACAUCUCAGUCACACACAGAAAGCAGAGAAAGUAAGCUGGAGGUGAGGGGGAAACUCGAAGCUUGCCCCCAACACAUGUUUCAUUUAGUAAGACUCUAACCCAGAAGGAUUCGGAACUUUCUCAGACAGCACCACCAGUGUGAGCACUGUUGCACUACAUGUCCUGUGGGGACAGCACCACAGUGUGUGUUUGUAUGUGAACAUGUGUAAGUGCAGGUGCCGUCAGAGUCCAGAGGAAUGGGGGGUGAAAAAAGCUAUGGCCUGCCUUUUACACUGAGAUGACUGGUACUGGGGAUUGAACAUAGCCCCUGUGUGUACUAGGCUAGUGUGUGUUACUGAGAUAAAUCCUAGUUCUUUUACCUUUUAUUUUGAGAUAGGGUCUUGCUAGAUUUCUCCUACAGGUAGCUAACAGUACAUGGUUUAGGUUACCACCCAGCUUUAAGUGGUGUGAAAUUUUCAUAGAAAUGUUUUAUUUAUUCAUUCAUUCAUUGACAAAUUCUCAUUACAUAUCUGCGACAGUCUCUGCCUCCCAUGUGCCUGGGAUUAUAGCAGUAGACCACCAUGUCCAUUGUAAACUUUUAACUAUAGAAUUAUUUCUAGGACUGGUUUUUUGCUUACUGAUAUAAAGAAAAGAUAGAGACUCUGCUGUUAGUAAUGUAGGUGAAUCUUAGUCUCUCUUCCCAGUUCUCUUUGACCUUUCUAAGUAAUACAUGAGAAACCAUAGAUUAUUUUGUAUUUGUUUGCUUUUGGUUUUUAGAGAUCAGGUUUCUCUGUGUAACAACCCUGACUGUUCUGGAGUUUGCUGUGUAGACCAGGCUGGACUUGAACUCAGAAAGAUCCGCUUGCCUCUGCCUCCUAAGUGCUGGGAUUAAAGAUGUGUGCUGGUAUCACCGGCUUAUUUUGUAUUAUUACAUGACAGGCUCUUUGCCACUGGGAACCUUGUUCUUCUUUUCUUCUUUUGUUUUCUCUUUGUUUUUUGCAUGUGCCACCAUGCCCAGUGCCUUUUUUAAAAAAAAUUGUGAGAUGGUUUUGCCUGGGACUUCAUGUAUGGGCCUGUCCUUGCCUGGGAGUGUUGGGAUCGCUCUCACCGUCUGCCACACUUUGUAAACUUUGUGAUACCUGUUCCCUCUUAACCCUUUUGCCGCCCUCCCUCCCACUGAACGGGCUUUGAAACUCUGUUGCCAAAGAUGACCUUGAACUUUGAAGCUUCAGGAUCCUGCUUCCACCUCCCAAGUGCUUGGAUUACAGGUGUACAUUGCCACUACCCCCAGUUUAUAGGGUGCUGGAGAUCUAAUCCAGGGUGUCCUCCCCUGCUAGACAAUCACUCCACCUAUCAAUGAAAAUAAGACUCUACCCCUAAAUGUAGGUUACUCUGUUUUGUAUUUUGUAACCCUUAACCUCUGUAAGCUUGAGUGAGCUUUUGUAAACUGCUGGUACUUGAAAGGCUUAACAGCUUGUAGUUGAAGAGUUAAGGCUGGGACACCUAAGAUUUUUCUCACUAGAGCUGAAUGGGAAAGUGAAUCUAGGUAUAGGUUAUAGGUUGUGUGUGUGCUUGCUUGCGUGUUAAUGUGUGCACACAUUUGUGUAUGCAUGUGUUUAGCCUUGCUCUUUUGUUUGUUUGUUUGUUUGUUCCAAGACAGGGUUUCUCUGUAUAGCUCUGGCUGUCCUGGAACUCACUUUGUAGACCAGACUGGCCUCGAACUCAGAAAUCUGCCUGCCUCAGCCUUCCCAGAGCUGGGAUUAAAGGCAUGCGCCACCACGCCCGGCUUAGGCUUGCUCUUAAAGAUGCACUGGGGAGAGACAGUGAGAAUGUAGUGCAUAGUUUCUAGUCUACAGAUGUGCUGUGGUACACUAGAUAAAGCUGGUAUGGAAACAGACUCCUGAAGAGGAGGUGUGCAAAUGGAAUUUUAGUUGGGUGACACCUACAUUGAGUUGUUACUUUUAUUGGUAAGUUGCCAUCAUAAGCUACUUGGUCCUGGAAUGUCUAUUUCUGUGAUUUCUCUUAGAUCUGUGUGGUCCACUCCAGUAGCCAAAUCACACAGGUACAAAUGGCAGGACGGAUACCACAGAGCAUUUCUACCACAGCAGAAUCCCCCUUGAAUGGAGCUGCUGUGAAGUCAUGUUUGACUCACCUAUGUUUUGGUGUGGGCCGUUCUGGGAGUGGUAGUGGUUGGUAUUUAUGAACAGUGGAGUCAGUAUUUUAUAUUGUAGUUAAGGCUUUGUGGGCUGGGGAGAUGACUCAGCGUUUGCUUUGCGAGCUUGAGGACUUGUAGCUCUGCAACACCCACCUAAAAGUUGUAUGCCUCACUGCUAGUGUUUGGCUGGCCAGCCGCUGGAGCCCAGAUAAAGUGACCAUUUCAGGAAACAAGGUGAAGUGCUGCUCAGAUGGCUCAUCAUGUAAAAGAGCUUGCUUUUAGCAAGCCUGGUAAACUGAGUUCAAUUCCUGGAGCCAUGUGAGAUGGUUUGUCUAUGCUUGGCCCAGGGAGUGGCACUAUUAGGAGGUAUGGCCUUACUGGAGUAGGUGUGUCACUGGGCAUGGGCUUUAAGACCUUCACCCUAGCUGCCAGACCUUCACCCUAGCUGCCUGGAAGCCAGUAUUAUGCUAGCAGCCUUCAUUCACAUGAAGAUGAAGAACUCUCAGCUGCACCAUGCCUACCUGGAUGCUGCCAGGCUCCUGUUUUGAUGAUAAUGGACUGAACCUCUGAACCUGUAAGCCAGCCCCAAUUAAAUGUUGUCCUUCGAAGAAUUGCCUUGGUCAUGGUGUCUGUUUGCCACAGUAAAGCCCAUGGAAAGGUGGAAGGAAAUAACUGACCCUACAAAGUUGUUCUCUAACUCCUGAAUGUUUGCUGUGAUGCACAGGCACCAGGCACAGGAAACAAGAAGGAAAAGGCUUUGCAUUUGCAUCUGGUCUGGAAUUGUGCUAUAUUUUAUACAUUGUUUAAUCUCUUAAACUUCAUUUUUUUUUUAUUUCCAACAGGGAUAAAUUUAUCAAGAUUGUGUGAAGUAAGUCAGUACAAUUUGGGGGGUGAUUAUCUAGCACAGUACCUCAAUAAAUGAUAGUGUUCAUUAAUAAACUUCUGAAAUAAGUGACUUUCUAUAUAAACAACUUCAUAUUGUAUAUACAAUAAAGUUGAUUUUUCUUUCCA